UUUUUUUUUUGAACGAAAACACAAUAGACCACCUUGAACGAAACCUUCUUCCGAACCAAUAUGAACAGCAAUCAAUCUACUACCUUUACCGCUUGGGUUAGCAGCACCAGUGGAGAGACCUUUCAAAAAUGCGUCCCGGCUCGAUUUGGCAGUUGUGUCUUGCCAUGUUUUAUUUAUACACUCUCCCGCAUUGACCCAAGUCUCGUCUAAAUAAUAAAUUGACCGGCCUUCCUUCCGGAAUUUACGAAUUUGUUCCAAGUAACGAUUCCUCCAACUAACAAUGUCGUCCCUUUCGAUCAGAGCACUGUUUCGCCCUCUCUUUGCAUAAACAAAAUUCAUUUCUUUAAGAAGUCGGUGAAGUGUGCUUCGUGAAUAAUUUCCUAGGCCUGAAUCAUCAUUUACGGUCUUCAAAAUUUUGUCAAUCGUAGGCACCUCACGUCAAAACCAAAAACUAUAAACUUUUUGGCGUACAACGUCUUUCUCAAAAUCAUCAGUUUUGUGUAUGAUAGACAGUCGGAUCUUUUUUUUGUUAGGGGAUUUUAUUAUACCUUCAGUUUUGUAGUCGCAAAUUGUCGAAUUGACAGUAUUUUUUCCUACACCAGUUUGUGAUGAGAUCAUCAAUGCCACUUCUUUUACUUUGAGGUUUGGUUGAUCAAACAUUUUUGCUUUGUAUAGAUUA